rnacentral:rRNA from 1 species
CCUACGGGGGGCAGCAGUAGGGAAUAUUGCUCAAUGGGGGAAACCCUGAAGCAGCAACGCCGCGUGGAGGAUGAAUGUUUUCGGAUUGUAAACUCCUUUUGUUAGAGAAGAUAAUGACGGUAUCUAACGAAUAAGCACCGGCUAACUCCGUGCCAGCAGCCGCGGUAAUACGGAGGGGGCAAGCGUUACUCGGAAUCACUGGGCGUAAAGAGCGCGUAGGCGGGAUAGCAAGUCAGAUGUGAAAUCCUAUGGCUUAACCAUAGAACUGCAUUUGAAACUGUUAUUCUAGAGUAUGGGAGAGGUAGGUGGAAUUCUUGGUGUAGGGGUAAAAUGCGUAGAGAUCAAGAGGAAUACUCAUUGCGAAGGCGACCUGCUAGAACAUAACUGACGCUGAUGCGCGAAAGCGUGGGGAGCAAACAGGAUUAGAUACCCGAGUAGUC